AAUAGAUACCCUGGUAGUCCACGCCGUAAACGAUGGAUACUAGCUGUUUGAGCGCAAGUUUGAGUGGCUAAGCGAAAGUGAUAAGUAUCCCACCUGGGGAGUACGGGCGCAAGCCUGAAACUCAAAGGAAUUGACGGGAGCCCGCACAAGCGGUGGAGCAUGUGGUUUAAUUCGAUGAUACGCGAGGAACCUUACCAGGGCUUAAAUGUAGAUUGACGUAUUUGGAAACAGAUAUUUCUUCGGACAAUUUACAAGGUGCUGCAUGGUUGUCGUCAGCUCGUGCCGUGAGGUGUCAGGUUAAGUCCUAUAACGAGCGCAACCCCUGUUGUUAGUUGCCAGCGAGUAAUGUCGGGAACUCUAGCAAGACUGCCAGUGUAAACUGUGAGGAAGGUGGGGAUGACGUCAAAUCAUCACGGCCCUUACGUCCUGGGCCACACACGUGCUACAAUGGCCGGUACAGAGAGCAGCCACUUAGCGAUAAGGAGCGAAUCUAUAAAGCCGGUCACAGUUCGGAUCGGAGU
rnacentral:rRNA from 1 species